rnacentral:rRNA from 1 species
CCCUUAGAUGUUCUGGGCUGCACGCGCGCUACACUGAUGCACUCAACGAGUUUACGACCUUGCCCGAUAGGGUUGGGUAAUCUUUUUAAAAUGCAUCGUGAUGGGGAUAGAUUAUUGCAAUUAUUAAUCUUCAACGAGGAAUUCCUAGUAAGCGCGAGUCAUCAGCUCGUGCUGAUUACGUCCCUGCCCUUUGUACACACCGCCCGUCGCUCCUACCGAUCGAGUGCUCAGGUGAAUAAUUCGGACUGCAGCAAUGUUUGGAUCCCGAACGUUGCAGCGGAAAGUUUAGUGAACCUUAUCACUUAGAGGAAGGAGAAGUCGUAACA